rnacentral:rRNA from 1 species
UACGAAGGGGGCUAGCGUUGUUCGGAAUUACUGGGCGUAAAGCGCACGUAGGCGGAAUGUUAAGUCAGGGGUGAAAUCCCGGGGCUCAACCCCGGAACUGCCUUUGAUACUGGCAUUCUCGAGUCCGGAAGAGGUGAGUGGAAUUCCGAGUGUAGAGGUGAAAUUCGUAGAUAUUCGGAGGAACACCAGUGGCGAAGGCGGCAUCCUGGACCGGUAUUGACGCUGAGGCGCGAAAGCCAGGGGAGCAAACGGG